rnacentral:misc_RNA from 1 species
UGUACCUAAAUAGUACGUUCAUUGAAUGUACAAUGUACGUACAAAACCCGUACGUCCAAAACUGAACCUUCAAAUAAUAUGUGCUUAAAUAGCAACUAUACUAAAUAUUUUUUUAUUAGAUAAGCCGUAUACUAAAUAAAAUUUGUCGUUAUUAUCAACUAUAAUCAUAGUUUUGGUAAUAUUUCAAAAGCGUGGCUUAAAGUUAAUAUACAGUAUGUAUAUGUUUUAAAAAUGGCGUCAAAUGUAAGAAAAUGGAAAAGAAUUAAUAGAAAAGUAAAGACUCUUUUAGAUUCAUCUAGUGAAGAUGAAACAAUUGUAAAAGAAAAUGAUGUUGUUGAUUUUGCAAUUAAUGAUAACGAUGAAACGUCGGAAUCUUUAACAUUUUUAUCUGAUGAAUACUUCACCGAUGAUUAUUAUCCUAAUACCAGUAGUGAAUCUGAAGGUGAAAUUCCAGAUCUUUACAGUAGUAGUGAUUAUGAUGAUGAGGUUGAAAUUCCACUAUUAAAUAAAAAACUGGCACAAUGUGCAGUUAGAAAUCGUUGGACUCGUUUUUCUGUUAACGAACUUUUAUCUAUCCUUCGCGAAAAUGAUUCUUCUCUUCCUAAAGAUGCACAAACUCUCUUAAAAACUCCAAGAAAAAUAAAAACAGAAAGAAAAUGUGGCGGUGACUAUGCGUAUUAUGGAAUAUGUAAAGGAAUCGAAAGUGUCCUCAGUAAAAAAAAAUUUGACGAUAAUAUCAUCAAACUAUCAAUAAAUAUAGACGGAAUUCCACUUUUUAAAUCAUCAAGUGUGUGCAUGUGGCCAAUACUUGCAUGUUUUGAUAAUUCUGACAUUUUUAUCAUUGCUAUCUUUUGUGGAGAUCAUAAACCCGACAAUGUUAAUGACUAUUUAUUAGAUUUUGUCAAUGAAUGGAUUUAUUUAAGACAGAAUGGCAUUUUGUUUAAUGGACGCCACCUAAGCAUAGAGAUUCAGUCGUUCAUUUGUGAUGCACCAUCUAGGGCCUUUCUAAAGUGCAUAAAAAAUCAUACAGGUUAUGAUUCCUGUGAAAGGUGUACUAUCCAAGGAACACACGAAGGAAGAGUUGUUUUUAAUCAUGAAAGAAUCUUUCAAUUAAGAGAUAACAAUAAUUUUGAACAGUUUGGCUACUGUGAUGGUCAUCAGCAUGAUAGGUCUCCUUUAAUUGGAAUUGGUAUUGAUUGUAUUUACUCUUUUACACUAGACUACAUGCAUCUAGUAUGCUUAGGCGUAAUGCGCCGUAUGUUAAAUUAUCUGAAAAAAGGUCCUGGUGGAAAAAUAUCUGCUGCUCAAAUUUCAGAGAUAUCUCAAGUAUUGACUUCUUUUACUGGAUGUAUGCCUAGUGAGUUUGCACGACAACCUCGAAGUUUAAAGGAAUUAGAUAGGUGGAAAGCAACCGAGUUCAGACAAUUUUUGUUAUAUACUGGCUCGGUUGCAUUAAGAGGUAUUGUCUCAAAGGAGUUGUAUGAACAUUUUUUAACCCUAAGUCUUGCCAUGACCAUAUUGUUACAAGAUGAUGAUAGUGUACGUGUUCCGUAUUUAGAUUAUGCAUGUAAUUUAUUAAAGUAUUUUGUGCAUCAAGCCAAGUAUAUAUAUAUUAACACAUUCACAGUUUACAAUGUCCAUAACCUUUUGCACCUAGUUGAUGAUUGUCGAACUAAUUCAUGUUCUCUUAACAGAAUAUCCUGCUUUCCUUUUGAAAACUUUCUUCAAAGAAUAAAAAAGAGUAUACGUAAUUCAUCUAAUCCAAUCUCACAAGUUUCAAAACGGCAACAUGAGUAUCAAAAUUUUUUAGGAGGGUUACCUAAGAAAAAUUUAGAAAGUAAAAUCUCUGCUAACAGAAAAGAUAGGUGUUUUUUGCUUCUCAACUCUUCUAUUGCAUUUGUUAAAGCUAAUAAUAGUGAUGGUACAUUUCAAUGUAAUGUUAUCGGUUCUAUGUAUUUAGAAAAUGUAUUUGACUCUCCAGCUCCAUCUAUGAAAUUUGGUAUUUUAUUAUUUCGAACUAUAAAUUUUAAUAAGGUUGUGGAGAAAACUCUGAGAAUUGCUGAUUUUCAAAGGAAGUGUGUUUGUUUGGAAGAAAAAAGAGGCUUAUCAAUAUUUCCAUUACUGCAUAAUGAUGAGAAAUCGAAACAAUAAUUUUUCUGAGAGUUUUUUUUGCUGCAUUUAUUUUCCACACUUUUUAUUGUUUAUAUAUACAUAUAUUAUAAUUUAAAAAAAAAUUAUUUAAAAAUUUAAUGUUGCUUUGAGUAUAGCAUAUUCAUCAUUUAUAUAAUUGAUAAAAAGAAAAAUUGAGCCUAAUACUAAUUAUUCCAGUGUUACAGAUAGGUUGAUAGGGUUUUUGUAUGUAUAUAUAUUAGCUUCCUUAAUAAAUAGUUAACACUCAAGGGGUUUUUAUGUUUCAUAUGCUUAAUUAAUGUCCAACUUUUAAUACUUUAAAUACAAGGUAUUUGAAAAUCUUGUGCAAAGUAUUUAAACUGUGUUUAUUUAAAUUAAUUAUUUAUUUAACUGUGUUAUUGUAUUUAAACAAUUACAAUUUUAUAAAAUUAUAUUUCAAUUCGUGAUCAUUUUUUAAUUCUAUAUCAAUAAAAUUUAAAUUUUUAUUUUCAUUGCAUAUGUAAGGAAGCACUUUGUUGAGGGUAUUUAAAUAUAUUCACACAAAUAUAUAUAUUAUAACUUAUUGCUACUUUUAAUAUAUAUUUUGAACUUUAGUUAUUAUUGCUUUAAAGUUAAAAUGUCUUGGUGCCGAGCAGUAUGGUUGGAGGGAUCAACAGAAGAAGAGCUGACAAUCCCGUCAGUUUGGAUUGAAGGAGCAGUAAAUGAAAAACAGUUUGUGAGGUGGCCCAAUGGUAUCAAUGUUUUAAAAGCAUGUAAACAGCAGGCAAUACCACAUAAUGAUUGGUUUUCCUUUCCACUCCUUAAGGAAAAAUGUCGUCAUAAUGAUAAAACAGUGUGUGAAGGAUUUGACUUCACUAGUGACGAUUCAGAAGCGUAUUCUAAUAAGCAAAUAGACAAAUCUUGUGAUUUGACCUUGAAAAUGAGAAAGGAAUUAAAUAUAGAACAAUACAUAAAAUAC